AGCUGAGUAGCUACAGUACAUAUCUAAGAGGGGGCUCUAAUUCUCAAUAUUUUCCAAAUUUAUUAGAUCACAGACUUUUCUUUUAGUGAAGUGCUUAAUGAAACUUAAGUUCUGUGAAAAGUACUUUGAGAAAUAUUGCUUUAAAAAGAAAAAGAUUGAGCCCUGUAUCAGGGGAAAUAUCUAAUAUUAUAUUAAACAAAAAAGUCCCACUGAAGAAAAUCAUCUUAUUGUUCAUAGACCUUAGUUUAGGUAUUGGGGCCAAAGGAUGGAUGACCAUUUCAAACGAUCCAGGCUAAGCCAGGAGGAGAGCUCAAAGUCUGAUCUGCUCUGCUGCCCCCUGCCCCAUACACGUGAUGGAGCAGAAAACGUGCUGUGUGAACCUGUGACUUCAGGGCCUGUUGACGUGGUCGUGCUUGCAUACUCUCUGGACUGGACCUCACUGUGGGAACAACAAGAUCAACAAGAGGAGCAAGAACAACAUCAAGAGUCAGGGCCCGGGGGUCCUGACGGGUACAGGAUGGGUACAGACCCACACAGGAAUCCCAGAGUGUGUUCCACAGCAGGACACGCCUGCGCUGAAAGAGUGGGCAGAAAGGAGCUGACCUGGGAUUAUGAUCCAAACUCAGCUGGGCCUCCCCUACCUGCCCCAGGAUUGUGGAGUGAGAACGUUGCAGCAGGGGAGAACAACGCAGCAAAGCACAGCAGGGGAACCGGAAAUGCUCACCCUUUGACAGGACCAAACCAAUGCACAACUCCUACGUACUGAUGGUGGUCUUACGUUUCCCUAAGUUUCUGCCGACUAAACUGUGCACACGUUCUCAGGACCUCCUGAAGCUGCGUCACAGGCGCUGAUCAAAGAACACAACCAAGAGUUUGGCCUUUUCUUCAGCACUGGGAAUUGUGAUCCAAAGCUUUUCCUGAUGAAGCACAAAGUUGGAGAAAAAAAAGCAAACUAAACAACAACAAUGAAACAGAACAGAGUUAAUCUGCUGUAGCUCAAGAGAGGACGUAGCUGCCCCCACUCCGCAUCCCUGGGCUCGGGUUUGCCUUGCUGACCUCUGCUGCCACCUGGUGCCACACAGAGAAACUGAGGAGAAACCACAUCAGUCUCCUUCAGCCUCAGCUUCACAUCUGUGGGUCAAGUAACCCUUUCAGAAGCUGAAUAAUGUGGGAAAGCUUUCCUCUCAGGAAAAUGCACACAUCCAACUUUGAGAAGAUGCCCUUGGGGGUGCUUCAAGGAUCCUAGAUAAAGAACCCCCUUUCCCGAACAUCCAAGAACCUAAGUUUUUUUUUUUUUUUUUGAGAAAGUCUCGCUCUCUCUCCCAGUCUGGAGUGCAGUGGCGUGAUCUUGGCUCACUGCAAGCUCCACCUCCCAGGUUCACGCCAUUCUCCUGCCUCAGCCUCCCGAGUAGCUGGGGCUACAGGCACCUGCCACCAAACCCGGCUAAUUUUUUUGUAUUUUUAGUAGAGACGGGGUUUCACCGUGUUAGCCAGGAUCGUCUUGAUCUCCUGACCUUGUGAUCCACCCGCCUCGGCCUCCCAAAUUGCUGGGAUUACAGAUGUGAGCCACCGCACCUGGUCCAAGAACCCAAGUUUUAGAUCUAGAGUGAUGUCAGCAUGACAUUGAUUUCCUGAGGCCCAGGGGCGAAGGAGCUGAGGACAGCAGAGGGGUGAAGGAACUCAGCUACAGACAGCAGCAGCUGAUGCACAGGGCUCCCAGCGCCUGAAGUCACCCGGAAUUGGGAAGUGCUCAGAAGCUUACAAAGCUGCCUCGAGGAACAGUAAGAGGACCUUGUGCAUGAAUAAUUUGUUUCCACACUGCAGACAGAAGAAUCCCAGACUUCUUAGAGAACCCAGUGACUUUUUGCACCUUAAAUCUGUGAAAUCCUCAUGCUUUCUUCUGCCGUAUCCAUCGUUCAAACAAACAUGAGGCAAAGCUAGACACAUUCCUGAAGGAACCCAAGAAAUUCCUCUCUUUCUCUCUCUGGAAUGAAAUGAAUUCUCUAGACCACCAGUUCUAACCUUCAAAAACCAAACCUGUUUGUGAGAUCUCCUUCAAAUACUACUGUAGACCCCAGUGUUUAUUCAUUAAAUUUUUUAAAUAUUUGUUUUAUUUGGAAUCAAAGUAUUUGUAAUUUUAGUAUUUGUAUUAAUAUAAGGGAGAAAUGUUUAAAUCUGUCUAUGCCACAUGUGCCUUCGGCUUAUUGCCCAAUUAAUUGUAGCCUCAGGCUAAACUUUGGUUUCUGUCUUUAAUUUUUGUCGGAAGAAAUAUAACUGGUCUCAAAACA